CCUCUUUUCACCGGGCGGCAACACCCUUAUAUUCCGCGUGCCGGGCAUUCGUCCGGCUAUGGCGAUAAACGUUCGAUGGAAUAAGCCUUUCGGACCCGGGGGCGGUACCCGGCGCCUCCACCCGAUGCCACGGCACGCGCCCUGGCAUCCGGCGGGGGCGAAAUAGGAUCGACGAGGGUGUAAAGAUCGAAUUUUCGCUCGGAAUGGUUCCGCCGUUAUCGGGCCGUACAAAUAGUUGCCAACGACAACUAUGCGGAAGCUCGUCUCGCUGCGUAAGCAGCGCGAACGCUUCAAUUCAAGUCCUGGGGGUUCGCACUUCUAGGCGGGGCUCGGAGGCGCCUGGCAACAGAAGCCUCCACU
rnacentral:tmRNA from 1 species